GACGGAAGGUGCAAGCGUUGCUCGGAAUCACUGGGCGUAAAGGGUGCGUAGGCGGCUUGGUGGGUCUGGUGUGAAAGCCCCGGGCUCAGCCCGGGAAGGGCACUAGAAACUGCCGAGCUGGAGUGCCGGAGGGGAGAGUGGAAUUCCUGGUGUAGCGGUGAAAUGCGUAGAUAUCGGGAGGAACACCAGUGGCGAAGGCGACUACCUGGCCUGUUCUUGACGCUGAGGCGCGAAAGCUAGGGGAGCAAACGGG
rnacentral:rRNA from 1 species